rnacentral:ncRNA from 1 species
UUAUUAAUUUAUUUGUCAUGAGAUAAAACACCAUAUAAUUUUGUCUCCUGGAGAUGAGGUUAUAUUCCAACUUUUAAAACCAUCGCUAUUAGAGGUUGCUUCUAUCUUCGAUAGUUAAGCGAUCCAUGAAAUGGUGAUGACCUGAAGUUUGGUACAAAU